CCUACGGUGUGCAGCAGUGGGGAAUAUUGCACAAUGGGGGGAACCCUGAUGCAGCGACGCCGCGUGGGUGAAGGAGUAUUUCGGUAUGUAAAGCCCUAUCAGCAGGGAAGAACAAUGACGGUAUCUGACUAAGAAGCACCGGCUAAAUACGUGCCAGCAGCCGCGGUAAUACGUAUGGUGCAAGCGUUAUCCGGAUUUACUGGGUGUAAAGGGAGCGGAGGCGGGGCGUUAAGACUGGUGUGAAAGCCCGGGGCCCAACCGCGGGACUGCAUUGGGAACUGGCGCGCUGGAGUGCCGGAGGGGUAGGCGGAAUUCCUAGUGUAGCGGUGAAAUGCGUAGAUAUUAGGAGGAACACCGGCGGCGAAGGCGGCCUGCUGGACCGCGACUGACGUUGAGGCUCGAAAGCGUGGGGAGCGAACAGGAUUAGAUACCCGAGUAGUC
rnacentral:rRNA from 1 species